GGGCUGUUCGUCUAAUGAAUAGGACUGCUCCCUUCUAAGGAGACAAUAGGGGUUUGAUUCCUCUACGGCCCACCA
rnacentral:tRNA from 1 species